UAACCGGGUAAGGCCCGUGGCAGACCACCACGUUGAUAGGCCGGAGGUGUACGUGCGGUAACGCAUUCAGCCGACCGGUACUAAUCGGCCGAGGGCUUGGUUACA
rnacentral:rRNA from 1 species